rnacentral:rRNA from 1 species
CGCGUAGGCGGCUGCCACAGUCAGGCGUGAAAUUCCCGGGCUCAACCUGGGGGCUGCGUUUGAUACGUGAUGGCUUGAGUUCGGAAGAGGGUCGUGGAAUUCCCAGUGUAGAGGUGAAAUUCGUAGAUAUUGGGAAGAACACCGGUGGCGAAGGCGGCGACCUGGUCCGAUACUGACGCUGAGGCGCGAAAGCGUGGGGAGCAAACAGGAUUAGAUACCCUGGUAGUCCACGCCGUAAACGAUGUGCGCUGGAUGUUGGGCGACCUAGUCGCUCAGUGUCGUAGCUAACGCGAUAAGCGCACCGCCUGGGGAGUACGGCCGCAAGGUUGAA